GUGCUCACUUUGGUAGCACAUAUAGAAUUGGGAUGAUAUAGAGAAGAUUAGUAUGGCCCCUGUGCAAGGAUGACAUGCAAAUUUGUGAAGCAUUCCAUUAAAAA
rnacentral:snRNA from 1 species